CAAUAGCGUAUAUUAAAGUUGUUGCAGUUAAAAAGCUCGUAGUUGGAUUUCUGGUAGGAGUGACCGUUCCGAACUUGAUUGUUCGUGUAUUGUGUUUUCUCCAGCCAUCCUUGUGGAGAACUUUUCUUGCAUUAAUUUGUAGGGAUUGGGACCCGCAUCGUUUACUGUGAAAAAAUUAGAGUGUUUAAAGCAGGCAAUCGCUUGAAUACAUUAGCAUGGAAUAAUAAGAUAGGACUUUGGUACUAUUUUGUUGGUUUGCAUACCAAAUUAAUGAUCAACAGGAACAGUUUGAGGAUAUUCGUAUGAACAUGUCAGAGGUGAAAUUCUUGGAUUUUGAUCAGACGAACUACUGCGAAAGCGUCUGCCAAGGAUGUUUUCAUUGA
rnacentral:rRNA from 1 species